GACGAACGCUGGCGGCGUGCCUAAUACAUGCAAGUCGAACGCUUCUUUCCUCCCGAGUUCUUGCUCUCGAUUGGAAAGAGGAGUCGCGUACGGGUUAGUAACACGUCUGUAACCUACCCAUCAGAGGGGGAUAACACUUGAAAACAGUUGCUAAUACCGCAUACCAGUUUAUGCCGCAUGUCAUAAGAGUUAAAGCCGCUUUCUGGUGUCGUUUCUGGAUGGACCCUUGGUGCAUUAGCUAGUUGGUGGGGUAACGGCCCACCAAGGCGACGAUGCAUAGCUGGUCUGAGAGGAUGAUCGGCCACACUGGAACUGAGACACGGCCCAGACUCCUACGGGAGGCAGCAGUGGGGAAUAUUGGACAAUGGGCGAAAGCCUGAUCCAGCCAUGCCGCGUGAGUGAAGAAGGCCUUCGGGUCGUAAAGCCCUGUUGUUAGGGAAGAAAAGCAACGGGAGAAAACGAAGGUGUUCUGACGGUACCUAAAGAGAAAGCACCGGCUAACUACGUG
rnacentral:rRNA from 1 species